rnacentral:tRNA from 1 species
GGCUGGGGCUUAGUGGUAGAGUGCUCACCUAGCACAUGAGAGGCCCUGGGUUCAAUCCUCAGCACCA